GGCGGCGUGCUAAACAUGCAAGUCGAGCGAGAAAGUGGAGCAAUCCAUGAGUAAAGCGGCGCACGGGUGAGUAACACGUGACUAACCUACCCUCGAGUGGGGGAUAACUUCGGGAAACCGAGGCUAAUACCGCAUAACACCUACGGGUCAAAAGAGCAAUCUGCUUGAGGAGGGGGUCGCGGCCGAUUAGUUAGUUGGCGGGGUAAUGGCCCACCAAGACGAUGAUCGGUAUCCGGCCUGAGAGGGCGCACGGACACACUGGAACUGAAACACGGUCCAGACUCCUACGGGAGGCAGCAGUGGGGAAUUUUGCGCAAUGGGGGAAACCCUGACGCAGCAACGCCGCGUGGAGGAUGAAGUCCUUCGGGACGUAAACUCCUUUCGAUCGGGACGAUUAUGACGGUACCGGAAGAAGAAGCCCCGGCUAACUUCGUGCCAGCAGCCGCGGUAAUACGAGGGGGGCGAGCGUUGUUCGGAAUUAUUGGGCGUAAAGGGUGCGUA
rnacentral:rRNA from 1 species